rnacentral:rRNA from 1 species
GACGAACCGUGCGAACGUUAUUCGGAAUCACUGGCUUAAAGCGCGUGUAGGCGGAUGGGAACGUCGGUAGUUGAAAGCCCCCGGCUCAACCGGGGAAGUGGUGCCGAAACGACCCGUCUGGAGGGACGUAGGGGGACCUGGAACUUCCGGUGGAGCGGUGAAAUGCGUUGAGAUCGGAAGGAACGCCCGUGGCGAAAGCGAGGUCCUGGACGUCUACUGACGCUGAGACGCGAAAGCUAGGGGAGCAAACGGGG